UACAGGAGGUCUCAAGCGUUGUUCGGAUUCAUUGGGCGUAAAGGGUGCGUAGGUGGGCAGGUAAGUCAGUGGUGAAAUCUCCGGGCUUAACCCGGAAAUUGCCAUUGAUACUAUUUGUCUUGAAUACCGGUGGAGGUCAGCGGAAUAUGUCAUGUAGCGGUGAAAUGCUUAGAUAUGACAUAGAACACCAAUUGCGAAGGCAGCU
rnacentral:rRNA from 1 species